rnacentral:piRNA from 1 species
UCAUUAUAUGUGAAAAGUUAGGUUG